UGUUAAAAAGCUCGUAGUUGGAUCAAGAGUCGGACAGUGCACGGUGGCCCUGUUUGUCAUAGUGGUUCCGAUCACUGUGACGGCAGCGGAUCAACCCCGUGCGCCAAACUGUCCGCUCUAACAGACCGAAACGGUUCCCUGUGAGUAGGCUCCUUAAUUGGGGCUGAAAGCGCUUACGCAUCAACCAUAUGCAUACGGGACGUCGGUCAAUGUUACUGUGAACAAACCAGCGUGUCCAAAACAGGCUUUCGCCUGAAUGUUCGAGCAUGGAAUAACAAGGGAUCGAUUCUCUCGGUUCUUUUUGUUGGUUUUUAACCCGAGAAGGAGUAAUUCAGUCCACGGUGUCUGAGUUGGGUUUCCCUUCACCUCGGUGGAGGCCCCAAUUAGGCCGUGUACUUACGGGAUAAAUAGGGACUGACGGGGUCGUACGUACUUCCACGUCAGAGGUGAAAUUCUUAGAUCGUGGGAAGACGAACUUCUGCGAAAGCAUUCGACACAGAAUAUCUUCAUUAAUCCAGAACGAGAGUGUGGGGAUCGAAGAUGAUCAGAUACCGUCGUAGUCCACUACUGUAAACAAUGCCGUCUCAGGAUUGAGAAGUGAACCGAAUGACUUUCCCAGCACUAACCCCUGAAACGAGAA
rnacentral:rRNA from 1 species